ensembl:lncRNA
GAAUAUGUCAUUAAUUGGGUAACAUUUAAUUAUCUUUCAGCCCUCCAUAGCACCCCAGCUCCUGGCAGGUUGGAAUCAUGGUCUCAGCCUCCAUCACCUGAGCUCAUCCUCUUGAUGGGAAGUGAUGGGGCUGAGCGCGUAGCAACGGCUUUAAAAACUGAAGAUUGAGAAAAGCUACUGAACACAGGAAGCGAGCUACAAGAACAGAAUGCUUUGCCCAGUGGUGGAGCUACAAAUCAGGAGCAUUCCAGGGUGGAUUACAGCAGGUGUCGCAAAACCAGUGGAUUCCCUCUUUUUCCUUGUGUAUUUAGAGCGGGCUGAGCCAUGAUCAGGGUUGCUGGAAGUCUUCCUCUACACCAUGAGUCUUGCAGUGUUGCAAAUGAUCUUGAAUUUGUGCCUUGGGUGUGCUGACAUCUCAAGUUCACUGACUUCAAGAAUUUACUGUGGAUAUUUUUUGUCUGCUGGCACAGAGUUUUGUGCAGAUAGCAG